rnacentral:rRNA from 1 species
AUGACGCAGGUGGCGGCGGUAUCGGCCGACAUCGUCCUCCACAACGCGUUUGUCGUCACCAUGGACGGCGCCCUCACGGUCCUCCGGGACGGCGCCAUCGCCGUCGUGGGCGACCGCAUCGCCGCCGUGGGCCCUUCGGCGGACGUCCUUGGCGCCUUCCCCGGCGCCGCGCAGACCCUCAACCUCGGGGGUCGUAUCCUCCUUCCCGGGUUUGUGAACACCCACGUGCACACGUCGCAGCAGCUGGCGCGGGGGAUCGCCGACGACGUCGACCUGAUGACGUGGCUGCACGGGAGGAUCUGGCCCUAUGAAUCUCACAUGACGGAGGAGGACUCCUACGCCUCCACACUCCUCUGCGGCAUCGAGCUCAUCCGAUCUGGGGUAACAUGCUUUGCCGAAGCAGGUGGGCAGUAUGUUUCAGAAAUGGCACGGGCGGUGGAAUUGCUGGGAUUGCGUGCAUGCUUGACAAAGUCAACAAUGGACUGUGGUGAUGGGUUACCUCCAAACUGGAGUUCUUGUUCUACCGACGACUGCAUUCAGUCACAGAAGGAUCUAUAUGAAAAGCAUCAUAACACAGCUGAUGGGCGAAUCAGGAUAUGGUUUGGGUUGAGACAGAUCAUGAAUGCGACAGAUCGGUUACUGCUUGAAACAAGGGAUGCUGCACAGGAACUGAAUACUGGAAUCCAUAUGCAUAUUGCGGAAAUACCAUAUGAAAAUCAGCUUGUAAUGCGGAUGAAGAAAAUUGAUCAUGGGACAGUUACAUAUUUAGAGAAAAUUGAUUUUCUGAGGAGUAAUUUGCUGGCUGCCCAUUCUGUUUGGUUGAAUGAGUCUGAGAUAAGUCAUUUUUCAAACGCUGGUGUCAAGGUUUCUCAUUGCCCAGCAUCUGCCAUGAGAAUGUUGGGGUUUGCUCCUAUUAGGGAAAUGCUGGAUUCUGGUGUUUGUGUCUCUCUCGGUACCGAUGGAGCACCAAGCAAUAACAGAAUGAGCAUUGUUGAUGAGAUGUACCUAGCCUCCCUUAUUAACAAAGGGCGUGAGGCCUAUAUCAGUGGUACAACAAACCCAACCGUGUUUCCUUCUGAGACUCUGCUGACGAUGGCUACUAUUAAUGGUGCAAAAGCGGUUCUGUGGGAUAAUGAAAUAGGCUCUCUGGAGGUUGGCAAAAAGGCGGACCUGAUUGUGGUGAAUCCAUUUAAGUGGUCCAUGCUUCCGUUACAUGACAGCAUUGCCAACAUUGUUUAUUGCAUGCGGUCAGAAAAUAUCGAAUCUGUUAUGUGCAAUGGCCAAUGGAUUAUGAAGGAUCAGAAGAUUAUGAAUGUAAAUGAGGAGGAGGUAAUUUCUUCAGCAGUAAAGAGAGCAACUGCCCUCCUAGCGCGAGCUGGCAUCAAUCUCCCUGAAAGGAUGAACUACUUGUGA